GGAGCAACGCCGCGUGAACGAUGAAGGCCUUCGGGUCGUAAAGUUCUGUUGUCAGGGAAGAACAAGUACCGGAGUAACUGCCGGUACCUUGACGGUACCUGACCAGAAAGCCACGGCUAACUACGUGCCAGCAGCCGCGGUAAUACGUAGGUGGCAAGCGUUGUCCGGAAUUAUUGGGCGUAAAGCGCGCGCAGGCGGUUCCUUAAGUCUGAUGUGAAAGCCCCCGGCUCAACCGGGGAGGGUCAUUGGAAACUGGGGAACUUGAGUGCAGAAGAGGAGAGCGGAAUUCCACGUGUAGCGGUGAAAUGCGUAGAGAUGUGGAGGAACACCAGUGGCGAAGGCGGCUCUCUGGUCUGUAACUGACGCUGAGGCGCGAAAGCGUGGGGAGCGAACAGGAUUAGAUACCCUGGUAGUCCACGCCGUAAACGAUGAGUGCUAAGUGUUAGAGGGUUUCCGCCCUUUAGUGCUGCAGCAAACGCAUUAAGCA
rnacentral:rRNA from 1 species